UGGGGAAUUUUGGACAAUGGGCGAAAGCCUGAUCCAGCCAUUCCGCGUGCAGGAUGAAGGCCCUCGGGUUGUAAACUGCUUUUGUACGGAACGAAAAAGCUCCGGCUAAUACCUGGAGUCCAUGACGGUACCGUAAGAAUAAGCACCGGCUAACUACGUGCCAGCAGCCGCGGUAAUACGAAGGGUGCAAGCGUUAAUCGGACUUACUGGGCGUAAAGCGUGCGCAGGCGGGUUUGUAAGACAGAGGUGAAAUCCCCGGGCUCAACCUGGGAACUGCCUUUGUGACUGCAAGGCUGGAGUGCGGCAGAGGGGGAUGGAAUUCCGCGUGUAGCAGUGAAAUGCGUAGAUAUGCGGAGGAACACCGAUGGCGAAGGCAAUCCCCUGGGCCUGCACUGACGCUCAUGCACGAAAGCGUGGGGAGCAAACAG
rnacentral:rRNA from 1 species